rnacentral:rRNA from 1 species
AUUGAACGCUGGCGGCAGGCCUAACACAUGCAUGUCGAGCGGAUGAAGGGAGCUUGCUCCUGGAUUCAGCGGCGGACGGGUGAGUAAUGCCUAGGAAUCUGCCUGGUAGUGGGGGAUAACGUCCGGAAACGGGCGCUAAUACCGCAUACGUCCUGAGGGAGAAAGUGGGGGAUCUUCGGACCUCACGCUAUCAGAUGAGCCUAGGUCGGAUUAGCUAGUUGGUGGGGUAAAGGCCUACCAAGGCGACGAUCCGUAACUGGUCUGAGAGGAUGAUCAGUCACACUGGAACUGAGACACCGUCCAGACUCCUACGGGAGGCAGCAGUGGGGAAUAUUAGACAAUGGGCGAAAGCCUGAUCCAGCCAUGGCGCGUGUGUGAAGAAGGUCUUCGGAUUGUAAAGCACUUUAAGUUGGGAGGAAGGGCAGUAAGUUAAUACCUUGCUGCUUUGACGUUACCAACAGAAUAAGCACCGGCUAACUUCGUG